AUGAGGAUCAACACACACGUGUCUCUGUCAGUCACUGAAUCAAUGAGUUUGAUUUUCACUUUCGGCAGCGGCACCAAACUGGAUGUUGGCAGCGUCACUCGUCCUAAAGUGAGCGUCCUGCCGCCCUCCAGUGCAGAGAUCUCCUCAAAGAAGACAGCGACACUGGUGUGUGUGGCCAGCAAGGGCUUCCCGUCAGACUGGAGCCUGAGCUGGAAGGUGGACGGGAGCAGCGCUGGGCUCCUGGAGAAGGACGGUCUGUACCGCUGGAGCAGCAGCCUGACUCUCUCACUCGUGUCUCACUGGAGACUAACAGCACAUGAGCGAAUCCUUCAUUCUCCACAUCCAGCUUCAGUCGCUCGCAUCUGCAUCUACUCUGCUUUGUCUUUCAUUGAAUGA